GUGCUUGCUUUGGCAGCACGUAUACUAAAAAGUGGAAUGAUACAGAGAAGAUUAACAUGGCCCCUGAACAAGGAUGACAUGCAAAUUCAUGAAGGAUUACAUAUUUUU